rnacentral:misc_RNA from 1 species
UUUCCGUAGGUGAACCUGCGGAAGGAUCAUUAUUGUAUAACCGAGAUGCGAGGGCUGUCGCUGACCCGAAAGGUCGUGCACGCCCGAGUGCCCUCACACACAUCCAUCUCACCCCUAUGUGCACCACCGCGUGGGUCCCCCUUUGGCUUGUUCGGAGGGGGGCUUACGUUUUCACACAAACUUUGUAUGCAGUGUAGAAUGUAUUCUUUGUUUUUGCGAUCACGCAAUCAAUACAACUUUCAACAACGGAUCUCUUGGCUCUC